rnacentral:rRNA from 1 species
GACAGAGGGUGCAAACGUUGUUCGGAAUUACUGGGCGUAAAGCGCGUGUAGGCGGCUAUGCAAGUCGGAUGUGAAAGCCCGGGGCUCAACCCCGGAACUGCCUUUAAGACUGCAUCGCUUGAAUCCGGGGAGAGGUGAGUGGAAUUCCGAGUGUAGAGGUGAAAUUCGUAGAUAUUCGGAAGAACACCAGUGGCGAAGGCGGCUCACUGGACCGGUAAUUGACGCUGAUGUGCGAAAGCGUGGGGAGCAAACAGG